UCCGAUUUUCCAUUUCGAACCAGUUCUGACUGUCUUCACUGUCUGACAAAAAUGUACAUCCCCAGGAUGUGUCAUUGUCAACCUAACUCAUACCAUCUAGAAGCAUGGCUGAACAUCAAAGUCUUGUCCCAGACAGGGAGCUUAAGAAGACAGUAUGGCCGAUGUAGCGGAUCAGUGGAUUAGAUAAUUAAAUUACUUCACAAUAAACAUGAUGCAAAAGAAAGUGAUGGUCCCAUGAAAAGGCCAUAUUUGAAGAGGCUUCCUGUUGCCAUAAAUGGAGGGAAAAAAAAAACUUGUUGAAAAUUUUGACCGAGGACAAUGUGAGUAAGUACGUAGACAUGAUGAGAGAUUUGAAAGCUUUACUGGUAUCUCUUUUUAUGCUGGCUGUCUCCUGAAUGGCCACUUGUGGAGAAAAAAAGGAUUUUACAAAAGAUAGAAAAUCAGAUUUACCACACCUUUCAUAAAAAUGUUUGAGGUACAGUGUAUAGUGUACCCGGUAAGGAGAUUCU